rnacentral:rRNA from 1 species
AGAAUCAACGCUGGCGGCGUGCCUAACACAUGCAAGUCGAACGAGAAAGUGGAGCAAUCCAUGAGUACAGUGGCGUACGGGUGAGUAACACGUGACUAACCUACCCUCGAGUGGGGAAUAACCUCGGGAAACCGGGGCUAAUACCGCAUAACAUCUUCGGAUCAAAUGCGUAAGCAGCUUGAGGAGGGGGUCGCGGCCGAUUAGCUAGUUGGUGGGGUAAUGGCCCACCAAGGCAAUGAUCGGUAGCCGGCCUGAGAGGGCGCACGGCCACACUGGAACUGAAACACGGUCCAGACUCCUACGGGAGGCAGCAGUGGGGAAUUUUGCGCAAUGGGGGAAACCCUGACGCAGCAACGCGCGUGGAGGAUGAAGCCCCUUGGGGUGUAAACUCCUUUCGAUCGGGACGAUUAUGACGGUACCGGAUGAAGAGCACCGGCUAACUCUGCGCCAGCAGCCGC